rnacentral:rRNA from 1 species
UCAUCAUACCAGCACUAAUGCAUCAGGUCCCAUCAGAACUCCAAAGUUAAAUGUGCUUGGGUGAGAAUAGUACAAUGGGUGACCUCCUUGGAAGCAGGGAUUUAGGGUGAU